rnacentral:rRNA from 1 species
UACGUAGGGCGCAAGCGUUGUCCGGAAUUAUUGGGCGUAAAGAGCUCGUAGGCGGUUUGUCGCGUCUGCCGUGAAAACCCGAGGCUUAACCUCGGGCUGGCGGUGGAUACGGGCAGACUAGAGGUAGGUAGGGGGAGAAUGGAAUUCCCGGUGUAGCGGUGAAAUGCGCAGAUAUCGGGAGGAACACCGGUGGCGAAGGCGGUUCUCUGGGCCUUACCUGACGCUGAGGAGCGAAAGCGUGGGGAGCGAACAGG